rnacentral:rRNA from 1 species
UAGUAAUCGCAGAUCAGAAUGCUGCGGUGAAUGCGUUCCCGGGUCUUGUACACACCGCCCGUCACACCACGGGAGUUGGAGACGCCCGAAGCCGAUUAUCUAACCUUUUGGAAGAAGUCGUCGAAGGGGGAAUCAAUAACUGGGGUGAAGUCGUAACAAGGUAGCCGUAUCGGAAGGUGCGGCUGGAUCACCUCCUUUCUAAGGAGA